UACAGAGGGUGCAAGCGUUGUUCGGAAUUAUUGGGCGUAAAGCGCGUGUAGGCGGCUUUGCAAGUCGGGUGUGAAAGCCCUCGGCUCAACCGAGGAACUGCGUCUGAUACUGGACGGCUUGAGUAUGGGAGAGGGAUGUAGAAUUCCAGGUGUAGCGGUGAAAUGCGUAGAUAUCUGGAGGAAUACCGGUGGCGAAGGCGGCAUCCUGGACCAUUACUGACGCUGAGGCGCGAAAGCUAGGGGAGCAAACGGG
rnacentral:rRNA from 1 species